rnacentral:rRNA from 1 species
UACGUAGGUGGCAAGCGUUGUCCGGAAUUAUUGGGCGUAAAGCGCGCGCAGGCGGUCUCUUAAGUCUGAUGUAAAAUCUCGCGGCUCAACCGUGAGCGGUCAUUGGAAACUGGGAGACUUGAGUGCAGAAGAGAAGAGCGGAAUUCCACGUGUAGCGGUGAAAUGCGUAGAGAUGUGGAGGAACACCAGUGGCGAAGGCGGCUCUUUGGUCUGUAACUGACGCUGAGGCGCGAAAGCGUGGGGAGCGAACAGG